rnacentral:rRNA from 1 species
UACGAAGGGGGCUAGCGUUGCUCGGAAUCACUGGGCGUAAAGGGUGCGUAGGCGGGUCUUUAAGUCAGGGGUGAAAUCCUGGAGCUCAACUCCAGAACUGCCUUUGAUACUGAAGAUCUUUGAGUUCGGGAGAGGUGAGUGGAACUGCGAGUGUAGAGGUGAAAUUCGUAGAUAUUCGCAAGAACACCAGUGGCGAAGGCGGCUCACUGGCCCGAUACUGACGCUG